GAGACAGCCCUGGGGAAUGAAAUUGUUUGUUUAUCCACAGAACACGUACAGCAUGGGCAGCAGCAAUGUAGCUUUUCCCAUGCUGUUUCAUUGCUGUUCUCCAGCCUUGCCCUACAGUAACAAUCUAUAGAGGUGCGAAGGCAGUUCACAGUCCAUGCCCUGCCCAAACUCCAGGUGCU
ensembl:misc_RNA